rnacentral:rRNA from 1 species
UACGUAGGGAGCAAGCGUUGUCCGGAUUCACUGGGUGUAAAGGGUGCGCAGGCGGAUUGGCAAGUCAGAGGUGAAAUCUCACGGCUCAACCGUGAAACUGCCUUUGAUACUGCUGAUCUUGAGUUAGGGAGAGGUUGAUGGAAUUCUAGGUGUAGCGGUGAAAUGCGUAGAUAUCUAGAAGAACACCAGUGGCGAAGGCGGUCAACUGGCCCUAAACUGACGCUCAUGCACGAAAGCGUGGGGAUCAAACAGG